rnacentral:rRNA from 1 species
AGCGUACACGGUGGAUGCCCUGGCAGUCAGAGGCGAUGAAGGACGUGCUAAUCUGCGAUAAGCGUCGGUAAGGUGAUAUGAACCGUUAUAACCGGCGAUUUCCGAAUGGGGAAACCCAGUGUGUUUCGACACACUAUCAUUAACUGAAUCCAUAGGUUAAUGAGGCGAACCGGGGGAACUGAAACAUCUAAGUACCCCGAGGAAAAGAAAUCAACCGAGAUUCCCCCAGUAGCGGCGAGCGAACGGGGAGGAGCCCAGAGCCUGAAUCAGUGUGUGUGUUAGUGGAAGCGUCUGGAAAGGCGCGCGAUACAGGGUGACAGCCCCGUACACAAAAAUGCACAUAUUGUGAGCUCGAUGAGUAGGGCGGGACACGUGGUAUCCUGUCUGAAUAUGGGGGGACCAUCCUCCAAGGCUAAAUACUCCUGACUGACCGAUAGUGAACCAGUACCGUGAGGGAAAGGCGAAAAGAACCCCGGCGAGGGGAGUGAAAAAGAACCUGAAACCGUGUACGUACAAGCAGUGGGAGCACGCUUAGGCGUGUGACUGCGUACCUUUUGUAUAAUGGGUCAGCGACUUAUAUUCUGUAGCAAGGUUAACCGAAUAGGGGAGCCGAAGGGAAACCGAGUCUUAACUGGGCGUUAAGUUGCAGGGUAUAGACCCGAAACCCGGUGAUCUAGCCAUGGGCAGGUUGAAGGUUGGGUAACACUAACUGGAGGACCGAACCGACUAAUGUUGAAAAAUUAGCGGAUGACUUGUGGCUGGGGGUGAAAGGCCAAUCAAACCGGGAGAUAGCUGGUUCUCCCCGAAAGCUAUUUAGGUAGCGCCUCGUGAAUUCAUCUCCGGGGGUAGAGCACUGUUUCGGCAAGGGGGUCAUCCCGACUUACCAACCCGAUGCAAACUGCGAAUACCGGAGAAUGUUAUCACGGGAGACACACGGCGGGUGCUAACGUCCGUCGUGAAGAGGGAAACAACCCAGACCGCCAGCUAAGGUCCCAAAGUCAUGGUUAAGUGGGAAACGAUGUGGGAAGGCCCAGACAGCCAGGAUGUUGGCUUAGAAGCAGCCAUCAUUUAAAGAAAGCGUAAUAGCUCACUGGUCGAGUCGGCCUGCGCGGAAGAUGUAACGGGGCUAAACCAUGCACCGAAGCUGCGGCAGCGACGCUGAUGCGUUGUUGGGUAGGGGAGCGUUCUGUAAGCCUGUGAAGGUGUGCUGUGAGGCAUGCUGGAGGUAUCAGAAGUGCGAAUGCUGACAUAAGUAACGAUAAAGCGGGUGAAAAGCCCGCUCGCCGGAAGACCAAGGGUUCCUGUCCAACGUUAAUCGGGGCAGGGUGAGUCGACCCCUAAGGCGAGGCCGAAAGGCGUAGUCGAUGGGAAACAGGUUAAUAUUCCUGUACUUGGUGUUACUGCGAAGGGGGGACGGAGAAGGCUAUGUUGGCCGGGCGACGGUUGUCCCGGUUUAAGCGUGUAGGCUGGUUUUCCAGGCAAAUCCGGAAAAUCAAGGCUGAGGCGUGAUGACGAGGCACUACGGUGCUGAAGCAACAAAUGCCCUGCUUCCAGGAAAAGCCUCUAAGCAUCAGGUAACAUCAAAUCGUACCCCAAACCGACACAGGUGGUCAGGUAGAGAAUACCAAGGCGCUUGAGAGAACUCGGGUGAAGGAACUAGGCAAAAUGGUGCCGUAACUUCGGGAGAAGGCACGCUGAUAUGUAGGUGAAGCGACUUGCUCGUGGAGCUGAAAUCAGUCGAAGAUACCAGCUGGCUGCAACUGUUUAUUAAAAACACAGCACUGUGCAAACACGAAAGUGGACGUAUACGGUGUGACGCCUGCCCGGUGCCGGAAGGUUAAUUGAUGGGGUUAGCGCAAGCGAAGCUCUUGAUCGAAGCCCCGGUAAACGGCGGCCGUAACUAUAACGGUCCUAAGGUAGCGAAAUUCCUUGUCGGGUAAGUUCCGACCUGCACGAAUGGCGUAAUGAUGGCCAGGCUGUCUCCACCCGAGACUCAGUGAAAUUGAACUCGCUGUGAAGAUGCAGUGUACCCGCGGCAAGACGGAAAGACCCCGUGAACCUUUACUAUAGCUUGACACUGAACAUUGAGCCUUGAUGUGUAGGAUAGGUGGGAGGCUUGGAAGUGUGGACGCCAGUCUGCAUGGAGCCGACCUUGAAAUACCACCCUUUAAUGUUUGAUGUUCUAACGUUGACCCGUGAUCCGGGUUGCGGACAGUGUCUGGUGGGUAGUUUGACUGGGGCGGUCUCCUCCUAAAGAGUAACGGAGGAGCACGAAGGUUGGCUAAUCCUGGUCGGACAUCAGGAGGUUAGUGCAAUGGCAUAAGCCAGCUUGACUGCGAGCGUGACGGCGCGAGCAGGUGCGAAAGCAGGUCAUAGUGAUCCGGUGGUUCUGAAUGGAAGGGCCAUCGCUCAACGGAUAAAAGGUACUCCGGGGAUAACAGGCUGAUACCGCCCAAGAGUUCAUAUCGACGGCGGUGUUUGGCACCUCGAUGUCGGCUCAUCACAUCCUGGGGCUGAAGUAGGUCCCAAGGGUAUGGCUGUUCGCCAUUUAAAGUGGUACGCGAGCUGGGUUUAGAACGUCGUGAGACAGUUCGGUCCCUAUCUGCCGUGGGCGCUGGAGAACUGAGGGGGGCUGCUCCUAGUACGAGAGGACCGGAGUGGACGCAUCACUGGUGUUCGGGUUGUCAUGCCAAUGGCACUGCCCGGUAGCUAAAUGCGGAAGAGAUAAGUGCUGAAAGCAUCUAAGCACGAAACUUGCCCCGAGAUGAGUUCU